rnacentral:rRNA from 1 species
CUCCAGACUCCUACGGGAGGCAGCAGUGGGGAAUAUUGCACAAUGGGGGAAACCCUGAUACAGCGACGCCGCGUGAGCGAUGAAGUAUUUCGGUAUGUAAAGCUCUAUCAGCAGGGAAGAAGAUGACGGUACCUGACUAAGAAGCCCCGGCUAACUACGUGCCAGCAGCCGCGGUAAUACGUAGGGGGCAAGCGUUAUCCGGAUUUACUGGGUGUAAAGGGAGCGUAGACGGCGAUGCAAGCCAGAUGUGAAAGCCCGGGGCUCAACCCCGGGACUGCAUUUGGAACUGUGUGGCUGGAGUGUCGGAGAGGCGGGCGGAAUUCCUAGUGUAGCGGUGAAAUGCGUAGAUAUUAGGAGGAACACCAGUGGCGAAGGCGGCCUGCUGGACGAUGACUGACGUUGAGGCUCGAAAGCGUGGGGAGCAAACAGGAUUAGAUACCCGAGUAC